AGGUUCGGUUAUUCCGAAGGUUCGUAUUUCCGAAGGUUCGUAAUUCCGAAGGUUCGUUAGUCCGAAAUCGAAUUGAGGUUCGUAAUUCCGAAGAUUCGUUAAUCCGAAAACAAAAUAAGGUUCGUUACGAAAUUACGAACGUUCGGAACAUCGA